GCACAAGCCCUCGUCUGCUACGGGAUUGGGGCUUCCCACCAUUGUCUGAUAAGGCUGGUACAGCCUACAUUAAAAAGCAUGAAACAGUCACCCUGCAAGGAGGUGCUGAUUCUCCAAAUAUCCUAUCUCUACCUGUGCCUUCACUCCUAGAACUAGAAUCAGAUGCUAAUGCGCCCCAAGAGGAUAUGGACAAGAUCUGAUGGAGGGGUGAUGCUUUACACAACAAAAGAGCAACAGAAAGCAAGAAAUAGACAUGGCAAUGAGUCUAAAGAUGACGUGAAGAAAGCUGAAAGUUGAGGCUGAGCGCGGUGGCUCAUGCUUGUAAUCCCAGCACUUUGGGAGGCCGAGGUGGGCGGAUCAUGAGGUCAGGAGAUUGAGACCAUCCUGGCCAACAUGGUGAAACCACGUCUCUACUAAAAAUACAAAAAUUAGCUGGGCGUGGUGGCAUGUGCCUGUAAUCCCAGCUACUUGGGAGGCUGAGGCAGGAGAAUCGCUUGAACCAGGGAGUCGGGGUUGCAAUGAGCCAAGAUCGUGCCACUGCACUCCAGCCUGGCAACAGAGCAAGAAAAAAAAAAAAAAAAGAAAGAAAGUUGAUGUACUGCCUCUAGCAGUGGGAGCGCUAAGCCAGUUUGCCCAGUUGGUUUACUAUAAUAUCAGCUCAGUGGCAGCUCACACUAAAUGUAAAUGUAAUGCCAAGUAAUGCAGAUGAAGAAAUCAAAAAUACUUAGGGAGUCAGGAAUAUUGGAGUAGAUUCAUCUUAUGCAACCUAGUCACUUACUUCCUAACCAUGGACCCCAAGAAGAUCCAAAGUCCCCUCCUUCAGUGGCUUAUACAGAGCCAGUGGCUGGCAAUGCAGCUGAUGUUCAGAGAGUUGGAAGGAAUGAUAUCAGAGGGCUGAUGAUGAGGUCUAGGGAAAUGAUGUGCUUGAACCACUUCGAAUGGGCAGAGUGUGCAUAUUGGGCUCCCUUUUGAAUGUUCACCAAAGGCAACCACUUCUAAAGAGGCUUUUGAGAAGCAGUUGAGCAAGAAGACUUCUGUUAGCCUUUUCCCCAGCUAUCCCUGUGCUUGUUUCAACAAAUAAAGAGGCUGUGACAGCAGGAAUGGAGGAUAUGUGUGAGUUUAUCCACAUGGGCUUCUCAGGCCUUACUACGUAACUCUUUGUGAAUAUCAGUAUGGUUAUUGACCUAUAGUCAAUCCCAUAAGUCUAUCUCUUUUAAUACAGUGACUUUUAGAUCAAAAUGUGUAAUGCUAAAGCAACGAAUCAGACACAGAUAGAAGAAUCGUAUGUAUCAAUUAUUCUUAAUUCUCU
rnacentral:lncRNA from 1 species